CGUCUCUCUUCCUGUUUCAUUCUGGAGUGGAGGAACAUAUUCAAGGUCCAGUAACUGCUGUAAGACUCGCCCCCUUUGGACUAUUGCGCAGAUGUUUGGAGAUAACUUGCGUGUGGUGUGCACGGUGCAGGCAUAGGCACCCAGGAGUGCUACGUUGGUUGAUCAAGUUGCGCGGUUUUUUAAGGGGAUGGAGACUUAGUUGCAUUUACCCGGAUAAGUUUGAAGGAAUUGCCUCAAAAUGGUUCUUCAGCGCAUAUUCCGUGCUGUCGUGAUGGGACCCCCGGGUUCAGGGAAAGGAACGGUGUCUUCGCGUAUCACCAAAACUUUCGGACUGAAGCAUCUCUCGAGCGGAGAUCUGCUCAGAGCAAACAUCGAAUCCAAGACUGAGCUGGGUCUGCUGAUGAAGUCGUGCAUCGACCAAGGCCAGUUGGUACCUGAUGAUGUCAUCUCCCGCCUCAUCCUGAGCGACCUGCGGAAAAUGGGGAACAGCAGCUGGCUCUUAGAUGGUUUUCCCCGGACCGUGUCCCAGGCGGAGGCCCUGGACGGGGUCUACAGUGUGGACACGGUCAUCAACCUGGACGUUCCCUUCCAGACAAUCAAGGAGAGGCUCACCUCCCGCUGGACCCACCUGCCCAGCGGAAGGGUCUACAACACAGACUUCAACCCGCCCAAAGUGGCUCCCAGUGAACAGGGUGGUUGGAAGAAGCCCACAAAAAUAUAUUGGAAGACAAGAAGUGCAACUGGUUUCUCCAUGCAGGAAGCUGGCAUUAAACAACGCAUAAAUCCCAAACAAACUUUAUCUGUGAGAGGACCAGAUGUAUGACCUAUCAGAUGCCAGCAGCAGGUGUAUCCAAUACCAGAAUCAGGUGUAUCAGAUACCAGCUCCAAGUGUAUCAGAUACCAGCCCCAGGGUGUGGAUGAUGUGACCGGGGAACCACUGGUCCAGAGGGACGACGACACCCCGGAUACCGUCACCAGGAGACUCAAGGCCUACCAGACCCAGACCGAGCCAGUCCUAGAGUACUUCAGGAGUAAAGGGAUACUGGAGGUCUUCUCCGGCACAGAAACCAACAAGAUCUGGCCCCAUGUGCAGACCUUCCUGACUAGAAAACUCUCCUAAAACGGAGGACGCUAGACACGACCUGAAAUGUUUACCAGCAGAAACCUUGUUUAAGGUCUGUGUGUACGCUCCAGAGAUCGGGCGUCACAAUGACCUUUCAAUUUAGUGCCAUGCUUAUUGCAGCAACGCUCCAGUAGAUUGUAUUUAAUAAUGUUUGAAAGAUGAGUAACAAGGGAUCCAUCAAUAACGAUGGCUCGCGUUUCCUAUAGGCACAACUGCUCCUUUUGUAGUUAUAAAGGUGGUGGCUUUUAGAUGGUACACUUUGCAUAAUUAGAUGUCCUUGUUCGAUGGUCUUGCCUUUCGUGAACCUGAAUAAUGACUCAUGUAACACAACUUUCCAAAAGGGAAUCGUCCAAUCAAAGCUUCUGUAAUUAGUUUUGAUUAAUUUGAGUUAUUUGAUUUUACUUUGUCUAUCCACAUCUAAAAUAUAUGUAAACCACUAACUGGUGGUAAGCCAUAUGCUUUCCUGAUUCUGUCUUGAAUAGAUGCACCUCAUGUGCUUUCGUCUUAAAAUGUUGAAUGAAAAAGCAAUACUCAAUGCUUAACUUCCUGUGAAAAAAGUAAUCUAGAUUGUUCGGUGAAAUUAUGAAUAUAUAUAAUUAUAUAAAAACAUGACUAUCUGGCUCAUGUACCCAAUGCACAGCGACAGGAGUACGAUAUGAAGUGCCUCUGAGAGUUAUUUGAUAAUUUUAUAGAUAUAGACACAGAAAUGAAGAGUGCAAGAGAUGUGACCAAAUAAUGAAGACGUCUCAUUCAUUGAUUUGUGGUAUAUUAUUUUUUCUAAGUCUUAACCUGUUAUCAGGAACCAAUGUAUCGACGUAGUGUUUAACUUAAAUCCCAAUGGCACUCCUUCUGUUCAUUUUACCCUUACCCUGUCUAACACUCCUAUCAACCCUUGAUCACAGAGGAGUAGUGAAACCAGCUGUAGCCGACAAAAAGCCCUUUCACACAUGCACUGUAGGCCCGACAUUCUCCAGUUUAUACCCGGGGGUUUGUUGGGAUGCUGGUUUAACGUCAUGACAUGCACCUAUUUUAUUGUCAUUACAUUUCUGUGUUACUGGCCUAUAGUUUGUAUUUUGCGUAUCUUACGUCAAUGUAAUAUGUUUUCCAAGUCUUAAUUGCCCAAAAGAUUUUUGGCUUGGUAAUUGAACUGAAUACUAAGGGAACAUUUGCCUUUAGUAGACUUAAAGGUUGGGUAUGGAAUUCUCUUUUUUGGCAAUUUUUGAAAAAUUACUGGAAAUCCUUAUUAUAACCCACUUACAGCCACUGAGGUAGAGGAACUGACAUGAAAAUUAAACAAGUCAAUCAUCUGUGGAACGGGCAGGGCUCGAAAACUCCAGCCAAUGAUUUCCAGAACUACCGAGUGGCAUUGGAUAGUAAGUACGUCAAUCAAACGUAGUUUGAUUGUAGUUGUUGUGCACUCCCCCUCCCCCGCGUGACCCCUUCGUGCACGUACUCAAAGCUCGUGACCCAGGUCAAGCUUCUGUUUUUUGUUAUCCUGAGGUAGCUACUGGAGCUAGCUAACUAGCUAAUGGCUCGCUCUCGCGCAUCUGUGUUCGCACUCGUGCAUGAUUGCGCGUCCACGUACUUGGAAUGGGUGGAGUCAGAGUCAGCGUUGAAGAAGAGGGGGUAGGACCAUUUGAGUUGUGUAUUUUCAAAAUCUGCUGGCGUUUUGCAAAUCCCAUACCCAACCUUUAAUCAAAGCACUUCUUCUUGAAUAACUUGUACUGUAUUGCCAACCACUAAAAAUCCGAGAUCAAUAGCUGCCUUUGAUUUGUAAUUGUAUACAUACACACAAAUUAAUAGAUUUAUGGUGUGUAAUAAAAAACGUCUAAUAAAAGUUGCCGUUGCAAUAUGCUC